rnacentral:rRNA from 1 species
AUUGAACGCUGGCGGCAGGCCUAACACAUGCAAGUCGAACGAGUGGAGGACGGGUGAAUAAUGUAUGAACACCUGCCUGAUCUAGGGGUCUAAGUGCUGUAACCGGUAGCUAAUAGCGCAUACCGCGCGAUGUGGCCUGGUGGGAUUAGCUAGUGGGUGGGGUAACGGCUCACCAAGGGGACGCUCCCUAGCUGGUCUGAGAGGAUUACCAGCCACACUGGAACUGAGACACGGUCCAGACUCCUACGGGAGGCAGCAGGAGGGAAUAUUGCACAAUGGACGCAAGCCUGAUGCAGCCAUGCCGCGUGAAUGAAGAAGGCCUUCGGGUUGUAAAGUACUUUCAUCGGGGAGGCGGUACCCGCAGAAGAAGCACCGGCUAACUCCGUGCCAGCAGCCGCGGUAAUAC